rnacentral:ncRNA from 1 species
UCUUGUUACUGGUAAACCUGAUGAAAGUCAGGGACACAAAGCUACGGAUCUAAAGUAGAUGAUUUCUACCAUGACCGCCGGGCUGCCGAA